CCUCCGCCUGGCGUCCCUGGUGAGUCUCCAUGGUGUGCACUGGGUGAACUGGUGGAGGAUUUCAAAGGCCGGGGGGCCUGGUGGCCCCCCGGCUCGCUAGGGUUAGGCUCAAAAACCAUUGCAAUGUACAACAUCAUCCACGGGUGCUGGGUGUGUGUCCUUGUUGGAGCUGAUUUCUUUUGUAGGGUAUUUUAGCUGUUGGAGGCUCUUGCCUCUGGCUCUGAGCUGACUGUGGAAAUGGUGGUGGAGAAGGAUUGCUCUUCAGGCAAAGUGAGAGUGACUCCUUAUGAGGUUGUUGUUAUGAGUUCAUUACUACAGAAAUGAAGAGCUGCAGUUGAAAUAGCAACUACUGACAGCAGGAAGAAACACAUGAUGCAUUGUGCCUGCAAGUCCUUGAAUCACAAGAAAACACUAGAUCUUAAAAUAUCCAUAUGGAAGACUGGGUUGUACACUCCAGAUAACAAAACUCUUUUAGGAAAUCCAAGAACUAAGAACUGAAGACAUUAUCUGAUCUUUAUUUGUCAUUAUGGGAAGACAGUUUAUUUUGAACAUUCUGGUAAUGUUCUGUCUAUGCACAUGGGUGUAUGUACAUGUAUAUAUAUGAUGUAUACACAUAUUUAAUAAAAUAACAAUCCAUCAUUAA